rnacentral:rRNA from 1 species
UACGUGAGGGUGCGAGCGUUAAUCGGAAUUACUGGGCGUAAAGCGUGCGCAGGCGGUUUUGUAAGCCAGAUGUGAAAGCCCCGGGCUUAACCUGGGAAUGGCAUUUUGGGACUGCAAGGCUGGAGUGCGGCAGAGGGAGGUAGAAUUCCACGUGUAGCGGUGAAAUGCGUAGAUAUGUGGAGGAAUACCGAUGGCGAAGGCAGCCUCCUGGGCCAACACUGACGCUCAUGCACGAAAGCGUGGGGAGCAAACAGG